AUUGAACGCUGGCGGCAUGCUUUACACAUGCAAGUCGGACGAGUGGCGGACGGGUGAGUAACGUAUGGGAACGUGCCGGGUGAUGGGGGAUAACUAAUGGAAAGAGUAGCUAAUACCGCAUAUUAUUCGAGCGGCCGAUACCUGAUUAGCUGGUUGGUGGGGUAAAGGCCUACCUAGGCGACGAUCCGUAGCGGGUCUGAGAGGAUGAUCCGCCACACUGGGACUGAGACACGGCCCAGACUCCUACGGGAGGCAGCAGUGGGGAAUUUUGGACAAUGGGCGCAAGCCUGAUCCAGCCAUGCCGCGUGUCUGAAGAAGGCCUUCGGGUUGUAAAGUACUUUUGGUAGGGAAGCGGUACCUGAAGAAUAAGCACCGGCUAACUCCGUGCCAGCAGCCGCGGUAAUAC
rnacentral:rRNA from 1 species